rnacentral:rRNA from 1 species
GACGAACGCUGGCGGCGUGCUUAACACAUGCAAGUCGAACGCUGAAGCUCAGCUUUUGUUGGGUGGAUGAGUGGCGAACGGGUGAGUAACACGUGAGUAACCUGCCCCCUUCUUUGGGAUAACGCCCGGAAACGGGUGCUAAUACUGGAUAUUCACUGGUCUUCGCAUGGGGGUUGGUGGAAAGGGUUUUUCUGGUGGGGGAUGGGCUCGCGGCCUAUCUGCUUGUUGGUGGGGUGAUGGCCUACCCAGGCUUUGACGGGUAGCCGGCCUGAGAGGGUGACCGGGAACAUUGGGACGGAGCUACGGCCUAGAGUCGGACGGGAGGGAGAAGGGGGGAAUAUUGCACAAAGGGUGCAAGACUGAUGCAGCGAGGCUGAGUGAGGGAUGGAGGCCUUCGGGUUGUGAACCUCUGGCGCUCAUGGUCAAGCCGCAACAAUGGUUGUGGUGAGGGUAGUGGGUAAAGAAGCGCCGGCUAACUACGUG